rnacentral:rRNA from 1 species
UACGGGGGGUACAAGCGUUGAUCGGAUUGACUGGGCGUAAAGGGAGCGUAGGCGGUUUGAAAAGUCAGAUGCGAAAUCCUGGGGCUUAACCCCAGAACUGUAUUUGAAACUUUCAAGCUAGAGGGUGGUUGGGGAAAACGGAAUUCUGCAUGUAGCGGUGAAAUGCGUAGAUAUGCAGAGGAACACCGGUGGCGAAGGCGGUUUUCUGUGCCAUACCUGACGCUGAGGCUCGAAAGCCGGGGGAGCAAACAGG